rnacentral:rRNA from 1 species
UACGUAGGGUGCAAGCGUUGUCCGGAAUUAUUGGGCGUAAAGAGCUCGUAGGCGGUUUGUCGCGUCUGCUGUGAAAACUCGGGGCUUAACCCCGGGCCUGCAGUGGGUACGGGCAGACUAGAGUGCGGUAGGGGAGACUGGAAUUCCUGGUGUAGCGGUGAAAUGCGCAGAUAUCAGGAGGAACACCGGUGGCGAAGGCGGGUCUCUGGAACGGUACUGACGCUGAGACGCGAAAGCGUGGGGAGCGAACAGG